CAGUGUGGGUGUAAAUACAGAGUAGAGAGAAAUUUGAAUUUAACCCAACUGUGGUUUGUCAAGGAAGAACAAAUUGACCAAUGGACAAAGGAAGUGAUGCGCUGUGCAAGUGAGUGAUUAAAACAGUUAUGUAAAACAACUCAGGUAAGGAGGGAAAUGACAAUAUGAAUGAUAUGGGUUAAGUUGUGUCCUCCCCCCUAAAAACAUAUGUUGAAAUCCUAAUGCCCUGUAUCAGUGAAUGUGACCUUAUUUGGAAAUAGGGUCUUUGCAGAUGUGAUCAAGUUAAGAUGAGGUCACUGGAAUGGGUCCUCAUUCACUGUGACUGUCCUUUUCAGAAUAGGAGAAGACAGAGACACAUAAGAGACAAUGGUCAUGAGACAAUAGAGGCAGAGAUUAAAGUAAUGAAUCUACGAUUCCAACAAUUGUCAGCAAACAUUGACGGUAGAAGAGAAGGAAGAAUCCCUUCUUUAGGUUUCAGAGGGAGCAUGGCUCUGCUGACACCUUAGUUUUGGACUUUUAGCUUCCAAAACUGAGAUAAUAAAGUUCUGCAGUUUUAAGCUCCCCAGUUUGUGGGGGCUUUGUUAAUGCAGCCCUAGAAAACUCAUUCAUUUAUGGUUAAUUUCACACCACAGCAGCAGAGGUGAGUGGUUAUGGUAAAGUUUAUAUGGCCUGCAAAACCUAAAACACUUACUAUUUGACCCUUUGCAGGAAAAGUUUGCUGAUCUAAAAUACGGAAGUAGGAUAUAGUCCAAUGAAAGACUACAUAUGAGAAGUGCUGAAUAUUGUAUAAAGUAAGUAGUAUGUACCUUCAAAACUGUAACUUUAACUGUGAACUGAAGAGGUCAGGAAAGGAAUCAUGUUAGAGAGUGAACUUGAGUAAGCUGAGGAUAGACCAAAUUACACUCUCAGGAAAAUUCCAUUUGUUGGUGAGGAAACGUAGGCUCUUUGCACUUUGGGAUAGUAAACACUUCUUCCCUUUGAAUGCACUAAUGGCCACACUGUUAAACACAUUGAAAAUACAAGACCUAUUGCAAUGCUUGCUCACUAGCAAAAGCUAGUUUGAUUGCUAAAAUAAAAUAUUUGGUCUUUCAGACUCUGAAUGUACCAUUGCCUCAUUGUACGAUUUAUCACUUUAUUUGUGUCCUUUUUUUUUUCAUUUGUAGUGAAAUGUGCUUAUAACCUUUGAUUUUUGGUUAAUGAUCCUUACCAUUGUGUGAACUGAAAUUGUAUAUGUAAUGAUGAUACUUUCCAGUCAUUUAUAACAUUUUGUUAUUUGGAAUAUACUUCUGAAUUGCUCAUAUAAUUUAAUCUUUAAGAGAGCCCCAUGAAUCUAUUUUAUUUUGAAUAAAAAUUCUGCUUCACAGAGGAAGAAGCUGAAAUUCAGUAAAGUUUAGUGACCAGGUCAGAGUCACAGCCAUUUAAGAAUAUGAUGGAUCUUGGAUGAUACCGGUAGCAAAUUCAUUUAUUACCAUAACCAAAUGCAAGCUGACAUGGCUCAGAAUCCUCCUAAAAUGGUACUCUUGGAAAAAGAAUUUAUUGUAAUUUUAGAAUUUUUCAGUGCAAGGAGUUCUCUCUCCUUAGAAUUUAGAUAGCAUAAACAAGUGGAUGCCGAAAAAUCCAAUGUUGUUUUGUUUUUUUCUUUUUCUAUUGGAUCCUUAUAAAUUGUGGAUGUGAGCAACUGAUCCUGUGUCUGAGAAUUAACUCUUUCUAGAAAGAACUCUGCAGAGCCUUGAUCCUGACCUGGCUCUCCCCACCUGGCAGAACUGCUCAGAGCUGCUGUAGAAUUCACCCCAGUUUCCUCUUUCAGUCUGUGGAGUGGGGUCCAGCCUCUUGCUGAGCAAGUUGAGAGGAAUUGGCUGUCUUUGAUCUCCACCUCCAGAAGCAACCUUGACAGGAUCAGAGUCAAGGAAUAUUUUCAUAAUGGACACUUCAUCCAAAGAAAAUAUCCAGUUAUUCUGCAAAAGUUCAAUGCAACCUGUCGGGCGACCUUCCUUAACAACAGAAUAUUCUUCCUCAAAGGAGAAACAACAGUGCUGUGGUGAACUGAAGGUAUUUUUGGGUGCCUUGUCUUUUGUUUACUUUGCCAAAGCAUUGGCAGAAGGCUAUCUGAAGAGCACCAUCACUCAGAUAGAGAGAAGGUUUGAUAUCCCCUCUUCACUGGUGGGAGUUAUUGAUGGUAGUUUUGAAAUCGGGAAUCUCUUAGUUAUAACAUUUGUUAGCUACUUUGGAGCCAAACUUCACAGGCCAAAAAUAAUCGGAACAGGGUGCCUAAUCAUGGGAGUUGGAACACUGCUCAUUGCAAUGCCUCAGUUCUUCAUGCAGCAGUACAGAUAUGAAAAGUAUUCUCCUUUCUCUAAUUCCACUCUGAGCAUCUCUCCAUGUCUCCUGGAGUCAGACAAUCAAUUACCUAUCUCAAUUAUAGAAAAAUCACAAUCCAAAAGAAGUGAUGAAUGUGAAAUUGAUGCCAGCUCUUCCAUGUGGGUUUAUGUUUUCCUGGGGAACCUUCUUCGUGGAAUUGGGGAAACUCCUAUUCAGCCUCUAGGCAUUGCCUACCUUGAUGAUUUUGCCAGUGAAGACAAUUCUGCUUUCUAUAUUGGGUGUGUGCAGACGGUUGCAAUUAUAGGACCAAUCUUUGGCUUCCUGCUAGGCUCAUUAUGUGCCAAACUGUAUGUUGACAUUGGCUUCGUAAACCUAGAUCACAUAACCAUUACUCCCAAGGAUCCUCAGUGGGUAGGUGCCUGGUGGCUGGGUUAUCUAAUAGCAGGAAUUGUAAGUCUUCUUGCAGCUGUGCCUUUCUGGUGUUUACCAAAGAGUCUACCUAGACCCCGAAGUAGAGAGGAUUCCAAUUCUUCCUCUGAGAAAUCCAAGUUUAUUAUGGAUGAUCGCACAGACUACCAAACACCCCAUGGAGAAAAGUCAAAAAUAAUGGAAAUGGCAAGAGAUUUUCUUCCAUCACUAAAGAAUAUUUUUGGAAAUCCACUGUACUUGUUAUAUUUGUGUGCGAGCACUGUUCAGUUCAACUCUUUGUUUGGAAUGGUAACCUAUAAACCCAAGUACAUUGAGCAACAGUAUGGGCAGUCAGCCUCCAAGGCCAACUUCGUUAUUGGGCUCAUCAAUAUACCUGCAGUGGCCCUUGGAAUAUUCUCUGGGGGAAUAGUUAUGAAAAAAUUCAGAAUCAGUCUGUAUGGAGCUGCAAAACUCUACUUGGGAUCAUCUGUUCUUGGGUACCUCCUAUUCCUUUCCCUGUUUGCACUGGGCUGUGAAAAUUCUGAUGUGGCAGGACUAACUAUUUCCUACCAAGGAACCAAACCUGUCUCUUAUCAUGAACGAGCUCUCUUUUCAGAUUGCAACUCAAGAUGCAAAUGUUCAGAGACAAAAUGGGAACCUGUGUGUGGCGACAAUGGAAUCACAUAUGCAUCGGCAUGUCUCGCUGGCUGUCAGACCUCCACCAGGAAUGGACAAACUAUGAUGUUUUAUAACUGCACCUGUGUGGGAAUUGCAGCUUCAAAGUCAGGAAAUUCCUCAGGCGUGAUGGGCAGGUGUCAAAAAGAUAAUGGAUGUCCCAAAAUGUUUCUGUAUUUCCUAGUAAUUUCAGUCAUCACAUCCUAUACUUUAUCCCUAGGUGGCAUACCUGGAUACAUAUUGCUUCUAAGGUGCAUUAAGCCACAACUUAAGUCUUUUGCCCUGGGAAUCUACACCUUGGCAAUAAGAGUUCUUGCAGGAAUCCCAGCUCCCGUGUAUUUUGGAAUUUUGAUUGACACUUCAUGCCUCAAAUGGGGAUUUAAAAGAUGUGGAAGUAGAGGAUCCUGCAGAUUAUAUGAUUCAAAUGCUUUCAGAUAGGAUUCUGCUUCCAUCUACUGGCUGGCGAAUUUUACAAUCUUCGGUACCACACAGGUAGCUACAGAUAGCCAAGGUAUCUAAGAGGACAUCUGAAGCCAUGAGGAAGUCCAUGGUACACAAAACACACUUAUAAAGGCCCGAGAGUAAAGGAACAAGGCAAUCCCAGGAGGUAAGGGCAUGACUGAAAUUUCUGGAGGCCUGGGGUUAGCAGUCAUUGAGGACAGGAGAAUUCUGUUGCUCCAAAGACAAUUUUGGGGAUUGUGACUAGUCUUUGUUAUGUUGUGUAAGAGAGAACAACUUGAGAAUUCUCUAGGAAAGUUAUAAUUUCCAGAAAAAAAUAAUAUUUGUGCUCUGAGGUGUUAAGAAUCUUUCAGAAAACAGGGUUAAUUAGGAUUUCUCUUUCAGAAAACCAAAUGUUAUACUGGUGCUAUUCAAGAGGACACACAUUUUUGCCAUUUGAGUAUGAAAAAUAUUAUUCUGAAUUUGAGCCAAAGUGACCUAGAGAGAAUUGAGGUAAAGAAGAUUUGUAGCAUAUGAAAUAUAAUAGAAGACUCUGUCAUAAAGUCUUAUGAAUUAGCAUUAAUGUAGCCUGUAAUCAAAUAAAUGCAAAAAUGAAACAGUAAGAUUUCAUUUUGUAAUUGUCUACGAUUGAAGAAAUAUAUGAUUGAUGGAUAUAAUCCAUCAGAGGUGCAAUAUAUUUGUAGGCAUUGUUCUUGAGAUAUUCUUUUUUGGAAAGCAAUUUGAAAAGUGAGCUUUGGAAAGCUUAUACUCUGAUUUGGUAAUAUUGAUUCUAAGAUAUACACUAUAGAAAUAAUCAUAGAUAUAUUUAAAUGUUUACAUAAAAGGAUAUUCAUUAUAGCAUUGUUUAAAAUUAGAAAAACUCAGAAAAGGUCUAGGGGAGCCUGGGUAGCUCAGUUGGUUGAGCGUCCCCCUUGAUUUCAGCUCACGUCCCCAUGGUGGGCUCCACACUGAGCGUGGAGCCUGCUUAAGAUUCUCUCUCUCCCUGUACCCCUCUCCCCCACUCACACACUCUCUCUAACAAAAUAAAAUUAGAAAGGCCUAUUACAAUAGCUACCACAUAAUGAGUGAUUAUAAUGUUUCUGUCAUUUGUGCUUGAUCCUUCAUCCUGAGAUACAGCAGGAAAGUAAAGGGAGAGAAAAGAGAAGGAGAAAAAAGGAAUAAUAUAAGAAAAUAGAAAUAAUAGAGAAUUACUUAUCCCCUAUGUUUCCUAACAGCCUAAUGAUUUGGUAUUUCAGCCCUUGAAAAGAAUUAGAUAAACAGUAAAAGCCUUAGAAAUGGUUAAGUAAGAUUUUGUGACACUUGUAGGAAAAGACCAUUUUUCCUCUGCUCUACCUCAGUCGUGCUACAGACUGAUAACCUGAAGUUAUGUUGCCCAAUAAGGUAGGCACUAGCUACUUAUAUCUAAAUUAAAUAAAAUAAAUUCAGUUUCCUGGUCACACAAGCCACAUUUGAAGUGCUCCCUUACCACACAUAGUUAGUUGCUACUAGAUUUGAGAGUGUACUUAUAGAAUAUAUCAUCAUCUGCUGCCCUGAAGACUCAACACAGAUAACUGAGCAGAAAUUCGACACUUUUUUGAGUAUUGGAAAAAUUGUAAUCUAUUUCACUUUUGUUACCCCAUCUUGUAGCUACUUUCUGGUAUUUAUCAUCACCUGGAACUGCUUCACAAUAAUACAUUUAGAUUUCCACUUUUCCCCCUCAUCUCAUUCCCUCAAUUAGUCUCUUCCUAAUUCAUUGGACUUUCAAUAUAUUGGCCCUUCUAUUUUCUUCCUAUUCAUUAGUACAAUGAUGUCCAAUAAAAAUACAAUGAAGUAUGAUGAUUAUAUAGGUAUUCUGAUAGACACUCUUCAUUACUUUAAGGAAAUUCUAAUCACGGUUUGCUGAGUUUUAUCAUGAGUUAAAGAAGAGUUUUAUCAAAUGCCUUUUUUACAUAUUUUAAGAUGAUAUAAUUUUAGGGUUUUUUUUUCCUCUUUAUUCUAUGGAUGCAAUGAAUUACCUUGAUUGACUUUAGACGUUUGAAUUGACUUUUGAUUGACCUUAGUGAUUUAAGAUUCUCAGAUAACUAGAAAUAAAAGAGAACCUCUUUAACCUGUAAGUACAAAAACCUACAGCUAGCAUUAUUCUUAACUGUGAAAGACUGAAAACUUUUCCUCUUAAUAUUGGGAACAUGGCAGGGACCUGCUGUCACCAUUUCUAUUUUAUAAUAUGAUAGUCCAGAGAGAACACUGCAGGUCUUAGACAGUACAAUAAGGCAGGGGGAAAGGCAUCCAAAUUGGAAAGGAAGAAGGGCAACUAUUUUCAUUUGCACACAGCAUGGUAAUUUACAUUAAAAAUUUUUAAAAAUAUGUUUUUAAAAAUCCAGUAAAACUACCAGCUGAGUUUAGUAAUAUUGCAGGACAUAAGUUCAAAAUACAUAUGUAAGUUUUUAUACACUAGCAUUAAACAAUUAGAAAUUGAAAUUAAAAUAAUAUAAUUUAUAAUAGUAUAAAAAUAAUAAUGCUUAACAAACUUGACAAAAUAUAUGAAAGAAUUGUCACUGAAAAAUACAAAACUGUGCUAUGAAAAAUUAAAGAAAACUUAAGCAAAGGGGAGAUACACCAUGUUUAUGGAUUAUAUGACUUAAUAUUACCAAGAUGCCAAUUAUUCCAAAAUUGAUCUAUAGAGUCACUCCAUUUUCUACCAAAAUUCCACCAGAGUUUUAUUCAGAAGUUAACAAGUGUAUUAAAAAAAUGUUUAUGGGAAUGUCAAGGACCUAGAAUAGUCAUAACAUUCUUGAAAAAGAAGAACAAAGUAGGAAGACUUAUAUUUUCUGGUUUCAAGACUUGUUAUGAAGCUAUAACAAUGAGAUAGUAUGGUAUUGACAUAAAGAUAGACAUGUUGAUCAAUGAAAGAAUAAACAGUCUAGAAAUAGGCCCACACAUUUAUAUUUAACUGAUAUUGUACAAAGAUUCCAAUCAAGUUCAUAGGGAAAUAAUGUUUUAAACAAAUGAUGCUAAAUAAAUUGGAUAAUGAUAUGCAAAAUAGUAAGUCUUGAACCUUGCCUCAUGUCUUAUACCAAGAACAACUCAAAAUGGAGUAUAGACUUCAACAUAAUAGCUAACAGCUCUAGAACAAAACAAGAAAAAUUUAUUGACCUUGAUUUUGGCAAAGAUUUCUCAGAAUACAAAAAAGCACAAAAGGUAAAGAAAAAUUGAUAAAUUAGAACUCAUCAGGGGCACCUGGGUGGCUCAGAUGGUUAAGCGUCUGACUGGCUCAGGUCAUGAUCUCAGGGUUCAUGGGUUUGAGCCCUGAAUUGGACUCUGUGCUGACAGCUCAGAGCCUGGAGCCUGGAUUCUGUGUCUCCCUUUCUCUCUGUCCCUCCCCUGCUCUUACUAGCUCUCUCUCGCUUUCUCUGUCAGAAAUAAAUAAACAUAAAAAAAUUAACUUAGACUUCAUCAAAAUUUUAAGGUUCUGACUUGAAAACAUUUGUAAACGUAUACCCAACAAAGAUCUUGUUUGUAGAAAUCUAAAUAACUCUUACAACUCAUUAAUAAGAGGACAAACAUCCCAGUAAAUGCUGAGUAAAAAAAAUUGAGCAGACAUUUUACCAAAAGACAGAAAGAAAGAGAGAAGGAUAGCAAAUAAGCACAUGACAAGAUGCUCAACAUCAUUAGUCAUUAAGUAAAUGCAAAUUUGAAAUCAGAAUUACAUACUACUACAUAUCUAUUAGAAGGAAUAAAAUUUAAAGACUAUUCAUACCAACUAUUAGGAGGGAGAGGAACAAAACUCUUAUACAUUGCUAUUGAGAAUGUAAAAUAAUACAACUAUGUUAGAAAUUUCCUAAAAACUUAAGUACACAACUCUCAUAUGACCCAAGCAUUCCACCAGUAGGCAUUUUUCAAGAGAAUGAAAGCAUAUGCCCACACAAAGGCUUAUAAACAAAUAUUGAUAACACUUAAUUGUAAUAGCCAACUGGAAACAACUCAUAUUUCUAUAAACAGUUGAGUAGAUAAAGAAAUUGAAAUAAUUUGUAUAAUGUGAGCUAAUCAGCAUAGAAAGGAAUGAACUGAUAUACACAACAAUAUGAUUGAAUUUCACAGUAAUGAUGUUGAAUGAAAGUAAGAUAAAAGGGAUCAUUUGUGUGGGUGAUAAAAGAUGGUGAUGGAGUGAGCUAUACAGAUAUCUAGAGAAGAAUAGAUUGGAAGAACAGCAAAUACAAAUACUCUGAAUAUGGGGUCUAUAUCUUAAAAGUCUUAAGGCCAUUCUUUGGACUUUAUGCUGAAUGGUAGGAAGCCAUUGGAGGAUUUGAGCAGAUCAGUGUCAUGAUAUGACCUGUUUUGACAUGAUGGAAUUCUGGCUCCCAUUUACAUGGGAGAGUGCAGUUGGUGAAUUUAAGGAGAUAAGCUGAAACACAAAUUGGAGAAUGUCGCAAUAAUUCAGGACAGAACGACAGCCGUGGUGGUGGUGAGAAAAAGUCAGAUUCUGGGUAUAUUUUGAAAUUAGAACGUAUGUUUUGAGUAAAAGAAGAGUCAAGAAUUAUUCCAAUAGUGUGUGUGCAUGUGUGUGUACAUGUGCGCACGUGUACACACAACUAAAAGUAUAGAACUACAAUUGACUAAGAUGAGGAAUAUUAUAGGAGUGGUUUGGGAAAGGAAGAUGAGAGGAACAGCUUUAAAAUUUUUUAGUAUCAGAAGCCUAUUAUCUAUGUAAAGGGAGAUGGUGAGCAGGCAAUGGAAAAAUCUACCAUAAAGUCUUGAGGAAAAAUCUCAGGAAUAAAGUCUUUACCAGAGAUAAAAAUUUUAGAAUUCUCAACAUAUAGAUAAUAUUAAAGAUAUGAGAAUAGAUGAGAUCACCAAAAUAUAAUGGUUGAAUUCUGAGGCUGUCAUGGAAUAAUUGGGAGUGACUUGUAAGACUGUCAUGGAAUAAGUGGGAAUUGAAUCCUGACACAUUCCCAUUAAGAGGCCAAAGAUAUAUAGAAUAUUUCCACAUGAAGUGGAAAUGGAAGCCAAUGAGUUAAGAGGAAAACCACAAAGGAUAGUAUCCUGAAAACUGUUUCCUGGAGAAGGGAAUAGUCAGCUCUGAAAGAUGGCUAAUAGUUCAAGUCAGAUAAAGACCAUCACGUUAUAGCAUUUAGGUAAUUUAUGACUUAGGGAAGAGUAGUUUGAGUGGAAUUGGGGGUAUAAACUUGAUUGAGUGUACUCAGGAAAGAAUGUGAGAAAAGGAGUAGAAAGCGAUAUUAUAGAUAAGUCUUUUGAGAAGACUUUUUAACAGUACAAAAAUAGUGCAAUACCUGUAAAAGGUACGGAAUCAAAAGAGGGAUUUAUGAAGAUGGGAGAGUGACAGGAUGCUUAUAUGCUGAUGGGAACAUUUCUUUAGAGCAGGAAAAUUGAUAUCCUUUGGAACACAAGGAGAGGAGACAAUCUGGUGCACAAAUGGAGAAUGAUCUUGGCUGCAGCAUGGACAGUUCCUCAAGGCAAAAUAUGUGGCACUGAUGCUAUAGGUAGAUAGAUGUAUUGGAAGGAGGUUUUGAGUUUUGUUCUUCAUUUUUUGUCACUGAAAUAGUCACCAGCUGAAGGUAAAGAUAGGAAAGGAUGUUUUAGAGUUUUGAGGAGAUAAAUGAAGUUUAAAAAGAGUCAAAAACAAGGUGACACAAAUUAGGAAAAUGCAGCAUGAUACCUACACAAAGGCUCAUUUGAGUUUCUUAAUCAUAAACUUAAAGUCAACAUGUUGAGGGUUUUUCUUCAACCUCAUUCAGUAGCAUGGAUGAAUUGACAGAGUAGUCUGAGAGUUGGGGUUAAUCAAGGUUGUAGUUAAGCAAUUAAGAUGAUGCAAAGGUCAAUAAUGACUUGAAGAGAUAUGGAAAAAAGUUAUUACCAUGACCAUUGAAUCUAACCCAGAAAUGCAGGAAAAUGAGGACAUGAAACCAAGAACAAUGCAAUCUCUGGGAGAAUCAAUCAGUGGUUUAUAAAUCCUGAUUAGUGAAAGUGUUGUUGCAUCUGAGGUAUAACACAGUAUAUGCUGGAAAGAUAGACAGUGGUAAACCAAUCCUUGGAAAUGAUAUUAUGGGGGAAGUUCCAGUUUUUUGUGUAACAAGGUCUUGGAUAUAUCCAUUGGAGUAGAUAGAAAAGCAAGAUCAUUGGAGAAGGAAAGGUUAAAAACCAAGAAGCCAGAAAAUUAAAAGGAUUAUCUCCAUGAUCAUUGAAAUCACCAAUAAUUAUGAUAACAGUAACAUUCUGAGAGAUUGACUUUGAACCAGGAGCUUAAACUGUCACAGAAUAAGUGGAAGUGACUGAAGGAUUAGUAGAUGAUUCCAACAAGAAGAAGGAUAAAUGAUAGUGUCUUUUGAUAUGAAAUUCAAAACUAUGCCUUCUGAGAGAAGAGGGAAUGAACACAGAAGGGAAGUAGCAAAGUAGAGCAAACUGAAAACCAGCCCAUCUGGUAUGGAGCAAUAUGGAGAAUAGUACAGCUCCCACUGAUUACAGCAGCGGGAGAGGCAGUCUUCAGGAAAGUGCCAGGUUUAAGUUAGAGCAAGAGAUGAACAACAGCAAGAAAUUCAGAGAAGAGACUGAAGGUAAAGGGAAUUCUAUGUUUGAUUAACCAUGAGUUCUAAAAGACUCAAGAAAAGGGUCUUAGUUCAGGCUUGACAGAGCCAUAUGGGGAUUAGAGAGGAGGUGAUGAGACUGAUCAGGAAAUACCUUCCUUCUUAUGGUGGUACCUAUAAUAACAAAGGUGAUGGUCACAGUAAGAGUAAUCACAAGGGCUUUAGCAUCAGUACAUACAGAAAUGUUGGGUUCUUUCCAGGAGUAUACACCUGGAGCUGCCUCAUGACCAUUGCCAAGGGAAGUGGGGUAGACAGGUGGCAGCAUGUUUGCUUUGAGCUUGAAGCCUUUCUCUCAAAGCAUGCCUGAGAACUCGGGCAAUAAAAAUUGCCAGAAGAAACUGCUAGGCACAUGUCUUAGAGAUGUUUUUUUUACUAAUUUAAUGUGAAUUAAUUGCUGUAAAUAUUUAUAAUACACAAACAUCAUACAAUGAAUCCUAUUAGAAAGUAGAUAUUGAACUAUAGUGUCAAGUACUGUGUAAAGCACUUUAUACACAUUAUUUAAUCCUUACUCCAAGUAUUGUAUUUUACAGAUGAGGAUAUUGAUGCUUAGAAAUCUUAAAUAACCUUAAGCUCAUACUGCUAGCAAGUAGCAGAGACAAAUUGGCAUUGAAGUUUAUCAGAUUUCAAGGACUAUGAUAUGCCAUCAGAACUGUAAUGAUAAUCUCUGAAACAAAUAUCACUAGAAUAUUUUUAUAAAACUAUACGAUUCUCCUGACCCAUGGAUGUUAGCAUUAUAUGGAUCUUAAAGGAACUAUUGUAACAUUUUUCCUCUGACCACCUUACUUCUCCACAAGUUGCACAAGCACGGUCUAAUUAGUAAUUAAACAGUCAUACAGAAGGAAGAGCACAGAAGACGCUCUUUGACCUAUGAAAACACUCCAGGAUUUCACCAGAAGGCCUUAGUUUAGGGAUUAGGACGGUUCUUAAUUUGUACUAUUUUACCUU